ensembl:lncRNA
UGCCCACUUCCCCUUCAUGCUGGGAUCUUGUCUGGUAAGAACGUAGAUUUGAAUCUCAAACUCACACAACCAGUCAUGAUCUGAGCUGUCAGCUCUGAAUCACAGGUCAGCCAUCCCAGCCCAAGUCCAGCACUGUCUCUUAGUUCAAAAUCUCAGAGUCUCAAGAGUAGGAAAAAAAAAAAAAGGGGGGAAGUGGCAGAAACAUCGGAAAUUUCUGUUUAUAACACAGGGAGACUGGAACAAGGAACAGGAAUAAAGUCAGAUGGAGGAAGAUAAAACUUUUGUGAACUCCUGGAAGUUUAUGCACGAUAUCAAAUGUAAAAUAUAAACAGGAUUCAUGUGCCCUGCACUGAGUCAUCCUCUACUCACGGAUGGCUCAGACUUGCGUAUCCAUGUAUAGCACCGGGAAACAGCCUAAAGCAGCACAAGGUACAAAGGACGCCAGCCACACACCUUCAAUGCCACACUCGGGAGGCAGAGGCAUGCGGAUCUCCGUGAGUUCGAGACCAGCAUGGGUCUAGAUAACAAGAUGUUCAAAACAAAGAAGUAAUAAGAACAGACUGCAGAGCACCAGCAGCACAAAGCAGCCACUCUGCCCUCCUGCUCAGCCGUCUGCUUCCCUCUAAGCCUUCGGGUACAAGAAGAAAGAGGCGCUUAAUAACAUUCAUUUCGCAAGAAAGCACCUAAAAAUGUUAACAUCGAUUAUCUGGACGAUGGAUUUAAUGACCAGCUUUUUUUUUUUUAAUCUUUAUUGGGGGGGUCUAAGUUUUCCUUAAUAAGCAUAAAUUGCUUUCUGUAUGAUUUUUUUUCUUUUUUUCGGAGCUGGGGACCGAACUCAGGGUCUUGCGCAUGCUAGGCAAGCUCUCUACCACUGAGCUAAAUCCCCAACCCCGCUUUCUGUAUGAUUUUUAAAUGUUUAUGUUUUAUGUGCAUGAGUGUUUUGUGUACAUGCAUGUAAACGCACCAUGUGCAUGGCGUGCCCUAGGAGGCCGGAAGGCGCAUGACAUCUCCUGGAACUGGAGUUAGAGAGGGUGUGAGCUUUAAGGUGGAUGCGGGGAACUGUCCUUGGGCCCCCUGCAGGAGCAGUCAGUGCUCUUUACUGCCGAGCCUUGUCUCCAGCCCCACAGGUAUUCUUUUAUGGUUAGAGGGGAAAUGCAAAUUUCUUGCUCUGAAAGUCCAUUAAAGGUUUCUUAGUUGCUUUGUGGUCAAGACAAGAAUAACAUAUAAAGAGCUGUGUCCUCUACUCUAAAGUACUUGCCAAUAUAUAAAUACCCUCACUCAAGCUUCCCUUCGAUUGGACUGGAGAUGUAGUUCACUCAUAGGGUAUUUGCCUAGUACAUGAAACACAGAGUUCAUUCCCCACUUGAGACAUACACAUUUGGGGGGGGGGGACCUAAAUCUCAGGCAAAUUCUGAUUCUCAAGAGAACUCAGGUGAAUUGCUAGGGACUUAGAAGUUUUCUUCGAACUUCAUCAUAAUUGGAUGAUGGCUCCACAUAAAACUGUAUUUGAAUUAAGUGUGGUAUGUGAUUGAAGAAUCGAGCCCAGUCCAACUGAAGUCUUUCUUUCAGCAAAUUUCAGCAGUAGGAGACCAGCUUUAUGCUGACGCCUAAGGCUCAACUCUGAGGGCACUGGAAGGUGUAUCCUCAUCCUAUGUCUGUGUCAUCUGGGUUUCCAGAGAUAACACAGGACUGUUGUCAUCUUUUUGACAUCAGAGAUCCAGGCACAGGUAAGAAAGGGAGGGGCCUCCAAGUAGUCAGACCAUACGGUUCCUGAUUCUCAGUGAGUCAAUAGCAAGAGAGAGAAGAAAUCAUUGAAGAUGGGAAGAUGACAAGGUAUGGGGGAGGGGAGGGAAGUGAUUGACUGUAUCUGACUCAUCUCCGUGUCCAUCAUAAUGGGAUGGCUAACUAUGGCGCAGAGCGGAGAGAGGCUACCUUGAGUUCCAAGAUUGUAUGUGUUCCAGACCGUGGGUCUGCACUCCUAGGAGGAAACUGGCUGGACUGUGUGGACCCAGCCUUUAUCUUUAGCUGGAAGUUUUAAGUGGUUAUCCUGAUGGGAGGGGGGCCCUCUGGGGGUGCAGCAUCACCCCCAAGGUUAUGAAAGCAGACGUCUCUCUUCACUCAUGCCACCUACUUUAUAUUCUUUUAUAUGUUGUGUGCAUUUAUGCCCCUCGAUUUAUUAAUAUUAUUAAUUGUUAUUAUUAUGUACCUGCAAUUUAUGACCUCGGUAAAACAUGUUUGUGAAUGUUUACAGAGAAGAUAUAAGCAAAAACAAACCAACAAAACAAUACUCUGUGUAAAGGAAAACGAUAAAAUUAAAAAUAAUUUUUUUAUUGAGAUUGCGCAUGUAUUAGAGUGACUACAGUGAAAAUGACAGCCGUGCCACACGCUGGCGAGGGUGCAGAGGG